rnacentral:rRNA from 1 species
CUUUGGUUUUGUUUUGUUGGUUUUGAGGACCAGAGUAAUGAUUAAUAGGGGCAGUUGGGGGCAUUGGUAUUGGGAAGCUAGAGGUGAAAUUCUUGGAUUUUCCCAAGACCGACUAUUGCGAAAGCAUUUGCCAAGGAUGUUUUCAUUGAUCAAGAACGAAAGUUGAGGGAUCGAAGACGAUCAGAUACCGUCGUAGUCUCAACCAUAAACUAUGCCGACCAGGGAUCAGUGGAGCGUGAUACCACCAUUGGCACCUUGAGAGAAAUCAGAGUUUUUGGGUUCUGGGGGGAGUAUGGUCGCAAGAGUGAAACUUAAAGGAAUUGACGGAAGGGCACCACAAGCGGUGGAGCUUUCGGCUUAAUUUGACUCAACACGGGGAAACUUACCAGGCCCAGACAUAGGAAGGAUUGACAGACUGAGAGCUCUUUCGAGAUUCUAUGGGUAGGUGGUGCAUGGCCGUUCUUAGUUGGUGGAUUUUUCUGUCUGCUUAAUUGCGACAACGAACGAGACUCUGGCCUGCUAAAUAGCCACGCGAACGCGAGUUGGCGGGGGGCUUCUUAGAGGGGGUUAUCGGGCAACCGAUCUCAACGGCAGAGCAAUAACAGGUCAGUGAUGCCCUUAGAUGGCCUGGGCCGCACGAGCGCUACAAUGCCAGAGGCAGCGAGUGUAUAGCCUUGACGGAGACGUCUGGGUAAUCUUGAAACUCUGGCGUGC